rnacentral:rRNA from 1 species
GAUGAACGCUGGCGGCGUGCCUAAUACAUGCAAGUCGAGCGAACAGAUGAGGCGCUUGCUCCUCUGACGUUAGCGGCGGACGGGUGAGUAACACGUGGAUAACCUACCUAUAAGACUGGGAUAACUUCGGGAAACCGGAGCUAAUACCGGAUAAUAUAUUGAACCGCAUGGUUCAAUAGUGAAAGACGGUUUUGCUGUCACUUAUAGAUGGAUCCGCGCCGCAUUAGCUAGUUGGUAAGGUAACGGCUUACCAAGGCAACGAUGCGUAGCCGACCUGAGAGGGUGAUCGGCCACACUGGAACUGAGACACGGUCCAGACUCCUACGGGAGGCAGCAGUAGGGAAUCUUCCGCAAUGGGCGAAAGCCUGACGGAGCAACGCCGCGUGAGUGAUGAAGGUCUUCGGAUCGUAAAACUCUGUUAUGAGGGAAGAACAAAUGUGUAAGUAACUAUGCACGUCUUGACGGUACCUAAUCAGAAAGCCACGGCUAACUACGUG